UACUUGGUGCGUUGAUGCUUGCUUCUGCAAUAAUAAACCCACGUACCAAUCAUCUUUUUCAAUGUUUGGACCUUGUACUGUUCGUCUGCGGUUAAUGACCUUGUAAUGCUUGUCAGAAUUUGGGCUCAAACCAAACUCGUUUACCCAAACUAGAACACAAACUCGUACCAUUUACUCUAAAUAAAUGUGCUUCACAAACAGAUGAAUGAUUACAAUACUAGAAUCGGAAUCGCACAGUUGAAAAUGGAGUAUGGAGUAUGUAGUAUCAUGAAGAACCCCACCAUUUUCCUGCCAGAUCGGUCGUCAAAUGAAACUCCCACGUUCUCCUGAAU